AUUUAAAAAAUGUUUUUCUCUUGUCUUCUUGGAAAAUGCCAUUCGAGAUUGACCUGCAGCAAUAAAAAUGCAUAUGUAUAAACAGCAAGAGACACUGAAGAAAGUGGAUACAAAGAGAAGAUAUCUAUUGAUAUUGAAAGGAUUUCAGGCUCCCAUCCAUAACCUGGAGUCAAACUAGAUAUCUCUGAAGACCUUGUCACCUUCUGAUAAUGUAUGACUCUUGAUGCUUCAUGAGUUUCGAGAAGACACCUGACUGCUUCCUCUUUACAUUUCUUGCUAUGUUGGAUAAAUUGAGACUAUGGCAAAAUAGUACUGGAGCAUUCACUAUGACUUCUGCCUUGGUUUACUUUUCUGUAAAAUUGAAGUAAUAAUAAUACCUCCUUAUAGGGUGAUUAUUUGUAUUAAGUAGCCCAAUAGAUUUCAAGUCCUUGGGACAAUACCUGGAAUGUACUGCAUAUGCAAUGAUUGUUAAUUGCCUUCUUAGUCAUUAAAUAUAAUCUCCUAUCAUCAUUACCAUUACCACUGUCAUCCC